rnacentral:rRNA from 1 species
UACGGGGGGGGCAAGCGUUGUUCGGAAUUACUGGGCGUAAAGGGCUCGUAGGCGGCCAACUAAGUCGGACGUGAAAUCCCUCGGCUUAACCGGGGAACUGCGUCCGAUACUGGAUGGCUUGAGUUCGGGAGAGGGAUGCGGAAUUCCAGGUGUAGCGGUUAAAUGCGUAGAUAUCUGGAGGAACACCGGUGGCGAAGGCGGCAUCCUGGACCGGCAUUGACGCUGAGGCGCGAAAGCCAGGGGAGCAAACGGG